GCAUGUACCUGCAGGAGAAAAGCAAAAAGAAUAGGCGACCUUUGAACAGGCCUGCAGAGCAUUGCAGCUGCACCCAUAGGUUCCUUCCUCCCUCUCCGGGCAUUGCCAGGUCUCAGACUCUUGAUGAUCCUUUAUUCUUUACAGUGAAAUCAUGAGAAGAAAAAAAAAUGCAGCCCCCAGCUCCACUACAGUGCAUUUCAUUUUCUAGCUCCUCAGGUUAGCUUCCCCUCAACUGCUUAACUUUGGUUGACUUACCCCAGUAGUGUAGACAAGAUCUAGGUGAAUAAUGUAACUGCAGUUGAUGUAGCUUAGUCAACUUACCGCAGUGUCUACACAAGAUAUUCUCCUGCAGACUUACCUUACUCUUCUCUGGGAGCUGGAGUACCAGAGUUGAUGGGAGAGUGCUCAGCAGGUCUUCACCAGACCUGCUAACUCAACACCACUGCAUCGAUCGGAGCAGCGUAUAAGGGGUACCAUUCCGCUGAGGUCAGAGGCCUGCAGCUAGCUAACUGGUUAACAAGCCCUGCCUGCUGCACAUGAAAAAGAGCAGGACAUGGAGGAAAGAACUGCAAUAUCUUCCAGAAAGUUGAGGGACCAGGGGCUGUGCUCCCAAUACACUGCUACAGGUGCUAAUGCAAAGAUCAACUGCUCCAGAAACCAAAUGGACAGAAGGCAGACUGUGUGGAGUCCAUUACUGCUGAGGCUCUAAGGCAAGUGCCAGGACAUCUUAAUAAAAGUUACUAGCAUGAGGAUCAGAGUUGGGGAAGCAACCAGUUAGCCUGCACAGACUUUGAGGGAAGAGUCUGCAAAGUUUUGAUUUGUUUGGUAAGAAGGCUUAAAAUAAAACUAACUGCUGGAAAUUACUUCCCUGGAUUCCUUGAGAGAGCUCAGACAGAACUAACUAAGGAAGUGAGCUGGUUCAGCAAGAUGAAAGCCUGAUCUGGUAGAAGGAAGGCACUAUAAAAUAGGCCCCAGUCCUUUUUACAUGGUCCUAUACCAUUGCUAGGAUUUUUUUUGUUCCAGAUUAUAUUUAAAUAACUUAUUGUCUUUUAACUCUGCUGUCCAUAGGGGUUUUUUCCACUGAUCUCUUCAACUGCUAAGAGAAGCUAUCUCCAUUUCCUGAUUGCAUGCAUUGUCAUCAGGUUCUCCAUUUGUUUUAUUUUAUAUUGCUUCUUUCACCUCCCCUCUUAAUCAGGAUUUUUUUAUCCAAGAAAUCUUUUCAUGAUUGAAAAGGUGUGGGUUUUUUGGGCAUUUAAUAAAAGCAUUUUAAAACAAUCCCUCAUUAUCGUUCCCUCUUAUGUUUAAAUAUUUCCUCAGCUAAAUUUUGCUCAUGAUAGUUUUCAGCUUCUCUACCUUAUUGUACAUUUAUGUUCUGAAAUUCUUAUCUGUAAAGGCUGAAAUAAUUGAAAGUCUCUAUAAAAUCACAUUACCAUGUAAUAAUGCAAGUUACUACAUCCAAAUUACCAGACACUAUUUCUAUUAUCGGUUUUUGUCUUGUAGUAAUAGGUAAAUAAUUAGAUAAAGGCAGGGUGAAUUUAGUUUAUUCAAACCUUGAGAAAGGCCCAUGAGGAGUUGAACCAAUGGAUUUCCCCCUUCCUAGUCUGCUUCCUUUUACAAAAUCUCCAUUGAAAUCUUAUAAGGUCAUUUACUCCUCUGUCUCUGCAGGCCUCUGAAAUUUCUUCUUUUUCAUAAAUCAGUUAGUAGUCCCCAUUAAGGUUUCAGAUUUGGGCUUGUUGCAAAGCAAGGAGAAAGAAAGCCUUGCAAUGAUAAAUUGUAACAACCUGCAGACCCUAACAAGGGAAAAUGUUUGCCUAUAGUUCCCUACACAUAAUAAUGUCCCUGACCAAAGAGGACAAUGACAAAGUCAUCUCCCCACUGACUUGAAGAGGCUGGUUACAAACCGUAGCCACAGGAAAGUUGGGUGCAGGGAGAGGCUGUGAGCAAAGCAGGGAAUGAGGAGGAAACAGUGAGAAAAGAGCCAGAUCCAUUUAAAUCCAUGAUCCUGCAAUACUAACACAUGUGAAUGAUUUUACUUCCAUGAGUAAAGAGGUAGAUGGAUCAAGCCCUAGACAGAGAACCACCACUCUUGUGCCAAAAAAAAAAAAAAAAAAGAAAAACCACCCUGCGCUUUUCUGGCUGAUGGGAAUGGACUCUUGGCAAAGUCUAAAAAAAGAAGAAUACAGUGAGACUCGAAGUAAUGUGUGGUUUUUUUGAGGGAUGGAAACGUUAGUAAUUUCAGUAGAAGCAGAAUGGUUCAGUAGGAAGCAGAAACAGAGGCAGACAUUUUAAAAUGACAAGGUCAAUUAAUAAAAUGAAAUUAAUGAACUGCCUUUUAGUGGAAUGAAAUCAACAUGGAAAUAUAAAUGAAAAUGGAUCCUGGUAGAUUAAAUGGAGAAAGAGGCUCAUUUAUUUUGUAAUGGCAUUUCUAGGAACAAGAGCCACAGCUGCACAUUAGAGAGGAUUCAGAGAUGAAGUCCAGCUCCACAGUGAGUCAUUCCAUCUUCUGUUGCACAGGGGCUAUGGGGACUUGAACCACAGCUGGAGGACACAAUCAAAACUACUCAAACAAUUGGCUUUUGCUAUUUAUUUUCAUUUUGGGCCGAAGUCAAGGAGCUUUUCCUCCCACCCCCUACUCGUCCAUGUUAAUAAAUAUCUCUUGGGUCGGUAAAUCAUGCUCUUCAGAACAGAAUUUUUGUUGUAUCCCACUUUGUAACUACUCCGUAGAUUGUCUAUCUGGAUUGUAAGCACCCUGGGACAGGGGCUGUCUUCAUACCUGUCUAAGUCAGACAGCACACUGUUUGCACUAUCAGAAUAAAAUAUAAUAAUGUAUGAACAAUU